UGCUCCUCUUGGAUUAGUUGCGAACGGGUGAGUAACGCGUGGGUAACCUGCCUUGUAGCGGGGGAUAACUUUUGGAAACCAUAGCUAAUACCGGAUAACAAUGGAUGACACAUGGCAUUUAUUUGAAAGGGGCAAUUGCUCCACUACAAGAUGGACCUGCGUUGUAUUAGCUAGUAGGUGAAGGAAUGGGUCACCUAAGGCACCAAUCCUUACCCAACUGGGAGGGGGAUCCGGCCCCCUGGGACUGAGACACGGCCCAGACUCCUCGGGAGGGCACAGUAGGGAAUCUUCGGCAAUGGGGGCAACCCUUGCCGAACCACGCCGCGUGAAUUAAUAAAGGUUUUCGAAUCUAAAACUCUGUUGUAAGUCAAGAACGGGUGUGAGAGUGGAAAGUUCACACUGUGACGGUAGCUUACCAGAAAGGGACGGCUAACUACGUGCCAGCAGCCGCGGUAAUACGUAGGUGCCAAGCGUUGUCCGGAUUUAUUGGGCGUAAAGCGAGCGCAGGC
rnacentral:rRNA from 1 species